UCCGUUCACCGGCCACUCGGUUGAGCUGUCAUUAAACCCUAAGAGGAUCGAUGAUUCGCCGUGAUUGGAAGCCAUGCAACCCCCGGUCGACUUCCUCCAUCGCCACCUUCUCCACCAUCACCACCACCAUAUCCCACUCGUCCUACUCUGUCCGUGCAGUUGCCACCGUCGUCACCACCACUGCCAUCUCCUCCCCCGAUUCGCUUCACCCAAUCCUCACCUCCCUCCUCCCUGCCAUCACCUCCCUCUUCCCCACAUCCCCUGUUCCAGCUUCUCCCAGGUUCUUCCAAAUAGAACCUCGCCGCACCUAGUCCAGGACCAAUCCUCGAUGAGCCAUAUUGGAGCCGAGAGACCGGAAGCUGCCGAAGUUGUCGACUUUCCUGCUUCUGAGUCACAAGAACAAGAAUGGAAUGAGAACCAAGUACCAGAAGGUGAAGAAGAUGUUUUUGUUUUAACUGAUGAAUGGAUGGAGUUUUUCGCAAAAUCUGAGGCUAAGAGAAAAUUGGCUAAGCAGCAGAAAAAGAAGGGCCGGAAGUGAAUGUACACAUACAUAUAUGGUCUAAAGCAUCCGACCGAGUGUUAAAACAUCUCAAGAUCUGCAUCUAUCUGGCUUCAAGCAUUCAAGACAGAGCCAUUUCUUCAACUCCUUGGAAAUAACAACAUGCCCAGCUGCUGUUCCUGACCUCUCUUGAUUCUGAAUCCCAAUCUCUAAUGGUGGUUGUCCAUCUCAGUUGGUACACCUCUCUCUCUCUCCAUGCACUUCAUCAAAAUUGAUGCUUCCAGUCUUGUUGUGUCUAAACAUUACAUGGCUGUGACACUCUUUUUCUGGCAUUUGUUUCCUUCACUAGCUUUGUCCUACAAAAAGGCUUCCAACCUGUAUGACUGUGACUUGAUAACUGCCGUUUUAUGUCCGACUUGGUAUUUCUCCGA